GCCUAUCAUGCAAGUCGAGCAGUCGAGCGAACUGAUUAGAAGCUUGCUUCUAUGACGUUAGCGGCGGACGGGUGAGUAACACGUGGGCAACCUGCCUGUAAGACUGGGAUAACUUCGGGAAACCGAAGCUAAUACCGGAUAGGAUCUUCUCCUUCAUGGGAGAUGAUUGAAAGAUGGUUUCGGCUAUCACUUACAGAUGGGCCCGCGGUGCAUUAGCUAGUUGGUGAGGUAACGGCUCACCAAGGCAACGAUGCAUAGCCGACCUGAGAGGGUGAUCGGCCACACUGGGACUGAGACACGGCCCAGACUCCUACGGGAGGCAGCAGUAGGGAAUCUUCCGCAAUGGACGAAAGUCUGACGGAGCAACGCCGCGUGAGUGAUGAAGGCUUUCGGGUCGUAAAACUCUGUUGUUAGGGAAGAACAAGUACAAGAGUAACUGCUUGUACCUUGACGGUACCUAACCAGAAAGCCACGGCUAACUACGUGCCAGCAGCCGCGGUAAUACGUAGGUGGCAAGCGUUAUCCGGAAUUAUUGGGCGUAAAGCGCGCGCAGGCGGUUUCUUAAGUCUGAUGUGAAAGCCCACGGCUCAACCGUGGAGGGUCAUUGGAAACUGGGGAACUUGAGUGCAGAAGAGAAAAGCGGAAUUCCACGUGUA
rnacentral:rRNA from 1 species